rnacentral:rRNA from 1 species
UACAGAGGGUGCGAGCGUUAAUCGGAAUUACUGGGCGUAAAGCGUGCGCAGACGGUUGCGUAAGUCAGAUGUGAAAGCCCCGGGCUCAACCUGGGAAUUGCAUUUGAGACUGCGUAGCUAGGGUGCGGAAGAGGGAAGCGGAAUUUCCGGUGUAGCGGUGAAAUGCGUAGAUAUCGGAAGGAACACCAGUGGCGAAAGCGGCUUCCUGGUCCAGCACCGACGUUCAGGCACGAAAGCGUGGGGAGCGAACCGG